GCCCUGCUGAGCAAACUGGCAAAGCUGCCGCAUUCAGAGUGCGGGUCAUUUCCGGGUUCGACUCCCGGGCAGGGUA
rnacentral:tRNA from 1 species